rnacentral:tRNA from 1 species
GCCAGCGUACCGAAGUGGUCAUAACGGGCCUGACUUGAAAUCAGGUGAUACGUGUUAGCGCGUGCCGUGGGUUCGAAUCCUACCGCUGGCGCCA